rnacentral:lncRNA from 1 species
ACUGUAUUCUACCCUGGGAUGUUUUCCAUUGUGACAGGGCAGCACUGAGUUCCAAUGAAAUGUUCCGUCAUCACUUUACCCUCCCUCCCCCAAGCACACAGAUUCUUUCUCUGUGCCACAUGGCCACUGCCAGGGUGGGGAGAAUGUGGGAGGGUUGACGUUGGCAAUUCAAGACUGUCUUUCCUACUGUCUUCAGUUAGUCUUAAUAGGAUGUUAAAACCAGUUUCACAUCCAAAAUCAUACUUUCCAGAAAAGGAAACUAAGAUCCAAAGAUGUUAUUGACCUGCUCAAGACCCCACAUAUAUGUAGAAGCAAUGUCAGGACUAGAAGUUGGUUGCUUGAUUUUAUGUCACUGCUUUCUCUGACAUAUAAUAAAAUUUAUGUUUUAUCCUUUA